rnacentral:tRNA from 1 species
GGGGGUAUAGCUCAGCUGGGAGAGUGUCUGACUGGCAGUCAGAAGGUCAUGGGUUCAAGCCCCAUUAUCUCCACCA